UACGGCCUAAACCCAUAAAGCUGU
rnacentral:siRNA from 1 species